UGUCUCACAGGCGGUAACUUUCUACGACGAAGGAUGGUGUCCAGUAAUAUAAUAAAUGCAUCAACAACGGCGGCAACUAUAUAGAAAAAGAGUGUAUAAGGAACAUCUCCGGGAUAAAGUGUGCUGUAUGGGUUAAAAUAUAAAGACCAGCAACAAGUACGUGCGCAAAAGCUGAUCAAAAUCUGUGAAAUACAUAUACAACUUAUCAGAAUGUAUAUAUCAAAGAUACGAAUGAAAUUGGCGGAAGUACAGACGAGGUACAGAAAAG